AGCGAACGCUGGCGGCAGGCCUAACACAUGCAAGUCGAAUGAAGUCUUCGGACUUAGUGGCGGACGGGUGAGUAACACGUGGGAACGUGCCCUUUGGUACGGAAUAACUCAGGGAAACUUGAGCUAAUACCGUAUGUGCCUUUCGGGGGAAAGAUUUAUCGCCAUUGGAGCGGCCCGCGUCUGAUUAGCUAGUUGGUGAGGUAAAGGCUCACCAAGGCGACGAUCAGUAGCUGGUCUGAGAGGAUGAUCAGCCACAUUGGGACUGAGACACGGCCCAAACUCCUACGGGAGGCAGCAGUGGGGAAUCUUGCGCAAUGGGCGAAAGCCUGACGCAACCAUGCCGCGUGAAUGAUGAAGGUCUUAGGAUUGUAAAAUUCUUUCACCGGGGACGAUAAUGACGGUACCCGGAGAAGAAGCCCCGGCUAACUUCGUGCCAGCCGCCGCGGUAAGAC
rnacentral:rRNA from 1 species